rnacentral:rRNA from 1 species
AACAGGAUUAGAUACCCUGGUAGUCCACGCCCUAAACGAUGUCUACUAGUUGUUGGUGGAGUAAAAUCCAUGAGUAACGCAGCUAACGCGUGAAGUAGACCGCCUGGGGAGUACGGUCGCAAGAUUAAAACUCAAAUGAAUUGACGGGGGCCCGCACAAGCGGUGGAUUAUGUGGAUUAAUUCGAUGCAACGCGAAAAACCUUACCUGGCCUUGACAUGUAACGAACUUUCCAGAGAUGGAUUGGUGCUCGAAAGAGAACGUUAACACAGGUGCUGCAUGGCUGUCGUCAGCUCGUGUCGUGAGAUGUUGGGUUAAGUCCCGCAACGAGCGCAACCCUUGCCAUUAAUUGCCAUCAUUUAGUUGGGCACUUUAAUGGGACUGCCGGUGACAAACCGGAGGAAGGUGGGGAUGACGUCAAGUCCUCAUGGCCCUUAUGGCCAGGGCUUCACACGUAAUACAAUGGUCGGUACAGAGGGUUGCCAACCCGCGAGGGGGAGCCAAUCCCAGAAAGCCGAUCGUAGUCCGGAUUGUAGUCUGCAACUCGACUACAUGAAGUCGGAAUCGCUAGUAAUCGCGGAUCAGCAUGUCGCGGUGAAUACGUUCCCGGGCCUUGUACACACCGCCCGUCACACCAUGGGAGUGGGUUUUACCAGAAGUAGGUAGUCUAACCGCAAGGAGGACGCUUACCACGGUAGUAUUCAUGACUGGGGUGAAGUCGUAACAAGGUAACC